AGAGUUCGUAGGUGGUUGAAAAAGUUGGUGGUGAAAUCCCAGAGCUUAACUCUGGAACUGCCAUCAAAACUUUUCAGCUAGAGUUUGAUAGAGGAAAGCAGAAUUUCUAGUGUAGAGGUGAAAUUCGUAGAUAUUAGAAAGAAUACCAAUUGCGAAGGCAGCUUUCUGGAUCAAUACUGACACUGAGGAACGAAAGCAUGGGUAGCGAAGAGGAUUAGAUACCCUCGUAGUCCAUGCCGUAAACGAUGUGUGUUAGACGUUGGAAAUUUAUUUUCAGUGUCGCAGCGAAAGCGAUAAACACACCGCCUGGGGAGUACGACCGCAAGGUUAAAACUCAAAUGAAUUGACGGGGACCCGCACAAGUAGUGGAGCAUGUGGUUUAAUUCGAAGAUACGCGCAGAACCUUACCAACACUUGACAUGUUCGUCGCGACUUUAAGAGAUUAAAGUUUUCGGUUCGGCCGGACGAAACACAGGUGCUGCAUGGCUGUCGUCAGCUCGUGUCGUGAGAUGUUGGGUUAAGUCCCGCAACGAGCGCAACCCUCACUUUUAGUUGCCAUCAUUAAGUUGGGCACUCUGAAAGAACUGCCAGUGAUAAGCUGGAGGAAGGUGGGGAUGACGUCAAGUCCUCAUGGCCCUUACGUGUUGGGCUACACACGUGCUACAAUGGUAUUUACAACAGGAUGCAAAACGGCGACGUUAAGCAAAUCCUUAAAAAAUACCUCAGUUCGGAUUGCACUCUGCAACUCGAGUGCAUGAAGCUGGAAUUACUAGUAAUCGUGGAUCAGCGUGCCACGGUGAAUGCGUUCCCGGGUCUUGUACACACCGCCCGUCACACCAUGGGAGUUGGUUCUACCUUAAGGCAAGGUUUAAAACCCUUGACCACGGUAUAG
rnacentral:rRNA from 1 species